rnacentral:rRNA from 1 species
AAACCAACAGGGAUUGCCUUAGUAACGGCGAGCGAAGCGGCAAUAGCUCAAAUUUGAAAUCUGGCGUCUUUGGCGUCCGAGUUGUAAUUUCAAGAAGUGUCUUCUGGUUUGGCCCUUGCAUAUGUUCCUUGGAACAGGACGUCAUAGAGGGUGAGAAUCCCGUAUAUGGUGAGGUGCCCAUUUCCUUUGUAAGACGCUCUCUAAGAGUCGAGUUGUUUGGGAAUGCAGCUCUAAGUGGGUGGUAAAUUCCAUCUAAAGCUAAAUAUUGGCGAGAGACCGAUAGCGAACAAGUACUGUGAAGGAAAGAUGAAAAGAACUUUGAAAAGAGAGUGAAAAAGUACGUGAAAUUGCUGAAAGGGAAGGGCUUGAGAUCAGACUUGGUAUUCAGUGAUCAGCUGUCUUUCGGGACUGUGCACUCGCUGUUUACUGGGCCAACAUCAGUUUGGAUGGCGAGAUAAUGACAAUUGAAUGUGGCUCUCUCUUCGGGGGGAGUGUUAUAGCUUUUGUUGAUAUCGCCUAUCUGGAUUGAGGACCGCGCUUCGGCUAGGAUGUUGGCGUAAUGAUCUUAAGCCAC